rnacentral:rRNA from 1 species
AACACGCAUGACACACUGCAUAUCAAUAAGCGGAGGAAAAGAAACUAACAAGGAUUCCCUUAGUAACGGCGAGUGAAGCGGGAAGAGCUCAAAUUUGAAAUCUUCAAGGUUCUACCUUGACGAAUUGUAGUUUAUAGAAGUGUUUUCUGUUAGUAGGAGUGGCAAAAGUUCUUUGGAAUAGGACAUCAUAGAGGGUGAGAAUCCCGUAUUUGGUCAUUCUCUCUAGCGUUGUGAUACACUUUCAACGAGUCGGAUUGUUUGGGAAUGCAGUCCAAAAUGGGUGGUAAAUUUCAUCUAAAGCUAAAUAUUGGCGAGAGACCGAUAGCGAACAAGUACCGUGAGGGAAAGAUGAAAAGAACUUUGAAAAGAGAGUUAAACAGUACGUGAAAUUGUCAAAAGGGAAGCGUUUGACACCAGUGUUGUUUUUCCGAAAAUCAAUUACGAAUGUUUUGUUUUUAAGGAGUUAUGACUUCAUCGGCUUGCUUCUUUCUUUACGAAACUUUCUUAAUGCACUUUUCGGUUAACAAGUCAACAUCAAUUUCUUUUGUUGUAAAAGGGUAUGAGGAAGGUGGCUUUCUUUUCGGAGAAAGUGUUUAUAGCCUUGUACCUCUGCAAUCGGAGAGAUUGAGGUCUGCAGCGUAGAUCCUUCGGGGUUAGAUACAUUUGUGCUAAGUUAUAGCUUUUCAUAGACAACUUGUUGACUAUGAUUAAUCAUGUAGCUUACUCGCUUAUGCUAUUUUACCUACGCUUAGGAUGUUGAGCGCAUGUCUCUCUCU